rnacentral:rRNA from 1 species
CUGAUUAAUAAAUAUUAAAUGGCCGCGGUAUCCUGACCGUGCAAAGGUAGCAUAAUCGUUAGUUUUUUAAUUGGAAUCUUGUAUGAAUGGUUGGACAAAAGAAAAACUGUCUUUGUAUUGAUUAUUGAAUUUUACUUCUAAGUGAAAAGGCUUAGAUAGUUUAAUGGGACGAUAAGACCCUAUAAAGCUUAAUAUUAAAAUUUUAUUUGAUUAAAUUUUUUUUCAAUAAAAAUCUAAUAAUUAAAUUUAUUUUAUUGGGGCGAUAAAAGUAUAAUGUUUGAUAACUGCUUAAUUUUAAUUACACCUAUGCGUGAAUUAAUUUAUGAUUGAUCCUAAUUAAAGAUUAAAAGUUUAAGUUACUUUAGGGAUAACAGCGUUAUUUUUCUUAAGAGUGCUUAUCGAAAGAAAAGUUUGCGACCUCGAUGUUGAAUUAAAAUAUCU